AGUGAACGCUGGCGGUAGGCCUAACACAUGCAAGUCGAACGGCAGCACAGUAAGAGCUUGCUCUUACGGGUGGCGAGUGGCGGACGGGUGAGGAAUACAUCGGAAUCUACUUUUUCGUGGGGGAUAACGUAGGGAAACUUACGCUAAUACCGCAUACGACCUACGGGUGAAAGCAGGGGAUCUUCGGACCUUGCGCGAUUGAAUGAGCCGAUGUCGGAUUAGCUAGUUGGCGGGGUAAAGGCCCACCAAGGCGACGAUCCGUAGCUGGUGUGAGAGGAUGAUCAGCCGCACUGGAACUGAGACACGGUCCAGACUCCUACGGGAGGCAGCAGUGGGGAAUAUUGGACAAUGGGCGCAAGCCUGAUCCAGCCAUACCGCGUGGGUGAAGAAGGCCUUCGGGUUGUAAAGCCCUUUUGUUGGGAAAGAAAAGCAGCAGGUUAAUACCCCGCUGUUCUGACGGUACCCAAAGAAUAAGCACCGGCUAACUUCGUG
rnacentral:rRNA from 1 species